GCAAAGGUAGCUUAACGGGUAGAGUACCGGCCUUUUAAGCCGGGCCGUGUGGGUUCGAUGCCCACCCUUUGCA
rnacentral:tRNA from 1 species